rnacentral:misc_RNA from 1 species
UCCGGCUAAAAACCGGCAGUCUCCUUAGAGUGCUCAGCAUUACCUGUAGCAACUAAGGACAAGGGUUGCGCUCGUUACGGGACUUAACCCAACAUCUCACAACACGAGCUGACGACAGCCAUGCAGCACCUGUUACUUGGUUCCUUUCGGCACUCCAACUACUAAGUCGGAUUCCAAGUUCGUCAAGGGUAGGUAAGGUUCUUCGCGUUGCAUCGAAUUAAACCACAUGCUCCACCGCUUGUGCGGGCCCCCGUCAAUUCCUUUGAGUUUUAACCUUGCGGCCGUACUCCCCAGGCGGAGAACUUAUCGCGUUAGCUUCGAUACUCAGGCUGUAACACCCAAACAUCUAGUUCUCAUCGUUUACAGCGUGGACUAC